GACGAACGCUGGCGGCGUGCCUAAUACAUGCAAGUAGAACGCACAGUUAAUACCGUAGCUCGCCACACGAUAGACGGUGAGGUGCGAACGGCUGAGGAACGCGGAGGUAACCUGCCUGGUAGCGGUGGGAAACGAUUGGAAACGAUACAUAAUACCGCAUGAUACUUAUCAUUGCAUGAAAAUUAACAGAUAGGUGCAAACGCACCAGUACCAGAUGGACUUGCGUUGUAUUAGCUAGUAGGUGAGGUAACGGCGGACCUAGGCGACGAUACAUAGCCGACCUGAGAGGGUGAUCGGCCACACUGGGACUGAGACACGGCCCAGACUCCUACGGGAGGCAGCAGUAGGGAAUCUUCGGCAAUGGACGGAAGUCUGACCGAGCAACGCCGCGUGAGUGAAGAAGGUUUUCGGAUCGUAAAGCUCUGUUGUAAGAGAAGAACGAGUGUGAGAGUGGAAAGUUCACACUGUGACGGUAUCUUACCAGAAAGGGACGGCUAACUACGUG
rnacentral:rRNA from 1 species